CAAAUUCUGAGCGGAUAGGAGAAUUUUUACUUUUUUUGGCGGUCAGAGGUGGCUCUUGCGCGGCAACGGGCAGCGGUCGGCUCUCUUCUUCGGCGACUGGUUCUUCUUCUCCGGCGGAGGAAUGGCGGCUAAGGUUUGGGUUCAGUGUGAUGCGAGGUAUUUAUACUUGUCUCGCUUAAAUCUGGACCGUUCAUUGCUUUUGAUCUCGACCAUCCGACUGCGUUUAAAGAGAAAAUGAAUCUGGAUCGUUCAUCAUAAUUUGAUCUCGAUCGUCCAAUAACGUUUAAAGAGAAAACGAAUCUGGACCGUUCAUCGUGUUUAAUCAUGACUAUCCAAUCGUGCCUGAGGAGAGAACAGAUCUAGACUGUCCACACGCACAGGAACGCU
rnacentral:lncRNA from 1 species